rnacentral:rRNA from 1 species
ACGGAAGGCAGCAGUAGGGAAUCUUCCGCAAUGGACGAAAGUCUGACGGAGCAACGCCGCGUGAGUGAUGAAGGCUUUCGGGUCGUAAAACUCUGUUGUUAGGGAAGAACAAGUACAAGAGUAACUGCUUGUACCUUGACGGUACCUAACCAGAAAGCCACGGCUAACUACGUGCCAGCAGCCGCGGUAAUACGUAGGUGGCAAGCGUUAUCCGGAAUUAUUGGGCGUAAAGCGCGCGCAGGCGGUUUCUUAAGUCUGAUGUGAAAGCCCACGGCUCAACCGUGGAGGGUCAUUGGAAACUGGGGAACUUGAGUGCAGAAGAGAAAAGCGGAAUUCCACGUGUAGCGGUGAAAUGCGUAGAGAUGUGGAGGAACACCAGUGGCGAAGGCGGCUUUUUGGUCUGUAACUGACGCUGAGGCGCGAAAGCGUGGGGAGCAAACAGGAUUAGAUACCCUGGUA